GGACGGGGUAGGAGCAGCUCUGCCAGACCUCCUGCUUUUCUCAGGUUGGGGUCUGUCCGCACUCCCAGCUUUUGGUCUGUAGAAGGCUUGACCGAUUUCCUUUUUCUGUUGUUUGGCUGUAAUAGGAAAUAUAUUGAAAAAUAGAAAGUGCUCUGGGAAAACACUCUGAAAGCUGAAACCAGUGGCCGGGAACAACACCCCAGCCACCCGGAGUCCAUCCCUGGCCAGUGGUGAUGAGGACCUGGAGGACCAGGGCUCCAGGCUAACCAUGAGAAAAACAGCAGACAAGUCUCAACUCCAGGACAGCUGCAAAACACCUGACCAGCGCUCCUCGAAACUGUCCAAAACAAGGAAAGUCUGAGAAACUGUCAGAAUCAAGCCUUGGCUAGCCUCGAAUUUGUGGCAGUCCUCCUGCCUCAACCUCCUGAGUGCUGGGAUUAGAGGGGACAGAGGACCGGCCCUCCAUGAGAAGUGCAUCUCCCCUCACUGUGUGUGCCCCGGGGCCAAACAUCUAAUUCGAGGCAUCUGACGUUGGCUCAUGCAGAUACGGAAUAACCGCUUUCCUAAGGAAGAAGCAGGAGGGUAAGACCUCCAAAUCGGAGUUCUUGCUUCAUUUAUUUUUCUGGUAUGUUGAGAAAUUUGUGCCCAGCUGCAUUUAUUUAUAACAAACCAGAAUGAGAAGUCCUGUGUCGUCUUAUUUGUUUAUUGCUGAAACAAAAAAAUCUAUAAGUAUUGUCAAAGAAAGAACAGACUGAAAUUUCACUAUGACUGGGUUUAAAUGGAACCCAAAAUCUUGAGUAAAACUUUAAUCACAAAAUGAGUUUAUGAAAUGCGUGUGUGUUUGGCUGUGUGUCUAUCAUUGUUUGUGAAUGUAGCAUGUGUAUAUAGUAGAUGUUGAUGUACAAAGCAUGUGUUCAUGCUGAAUAGAUGUGACUGGAGUGUGUGCGGGUCUAGUGUGUGCAUGUGGUAUGCAGUGGGUGUUCGUAAACCACAAGAGUGCAUGUUUGUGUUCAGCAUGGUGUGUGCAAUCUGCAUGCUGUAUGUAGUAAACAGAAAAGGUGGUACAGUGUGUGUGUGUGUGUGGGACGUGUGUGCACAGUCCAUGUGUACAUGGCCCAUGACAUGUGAAUUCUGGGUACGCAUGUGGUGUCCUUGCUCUGACCCACUGGCCUUGAGCAGGCCUGGGAAUGACACAAAGUAGUGAAGCAGCUUCCUGGAGGACCAUGCAAGGAAUGAGAGUGAAGAGCCCUGUAACAUUUUCAGGCCUUACUCUUCCAGGAGGAAAUCAGGAAUUUCUGGAGUCUGCUUUACACACCCUGCAAAACCCAAACUAGCAGAAUGACUGCAGUGUGGUGGAAACCCCACUGCCAGCUCAUGAAGCCCAAUUGAAAAGCUUGUAGUUUCCGAGAAAGAUUGCUCAUCAAACUUUCCAGGCUUUUCUCCUGUCGGAGACCAGAGGAGAAUUGAGGCCUAAUUGGCCUCCUCGGUGAGCACAGAGGAGAAAGGCUGUUCUCAGGGGUGAUUGCACAUUGCAGGGAAAAGUUAAGACAGCUGAGGUUAAAUUGUUUACCAGAGAAUGUACUAAUGGA
ensembl:lncRNA